GCCCUCGUAGUACAAACUAAUAUAUCGGUCUUGUAAACCGAAGAUGGAGACCUCUCCCUAGGGCA
rnacentral:tRNA from 1 species